UACGUAGGUGACAAGCGUUGUCCGGAUUUACUGGGCGUAAAGAGCGCGCAGGCGGUCGAUCAAGUCGAGUGUGAAAGCCCCCGGCUCAACUGGGGAGGGUCAUUCGAUACUGAUCGACUCGAAGGCAGGAGAGGGUAGUGGAAUUCUUGGUGUAGCGGUGAAAUGCGUAGAUAUCAAGAGGAACACCAGAGGCGAAGGCGAGUUGCUAGGCUGACACUGACGCUGAGGCGCGAAAGCUAGGGGAGCGAACGGG
rnacentral:rRNA from 1 species